rnacentral:rRNA from 1 species
AUUGAACGCUUGCGGCAGGCCUAACACAUGCAAGUCGAACGAGUGGCGGACGGGUGAGUAAUGUCUGGGAAACUGCCUGAUGGAGGGGUAUAACUACUGGAAACGGUAGCUAAUACCGCAUACCAUCGGAUGUGCCCAGAUGGGAUUAGCUAGUAGGUGGGGUAAAGGCUCACCAGGGCGACGAUCCCUAGCUGGUCUGAGAGGAUGACCAGCCACACUGGAACUGAGACACGGCCCAGACGCCUACGGGAGGCAGCAGUGGGGAAUAUUGCACAAUGGGGGCAAGCCUGAUGCAGCCAUGCCGCGUGUAUGAAGAAGGCCGUCGGGUUGUAAAGUACUUGCAGUGGGGAGGCGUUAACCGCAGAAGAAGCACCGGCUAACUCCGUGCCAGCAGCCGCGGUAAUUC